rnacentral:rRNA from 1 species
CAGCCGCCACGGGAAUACAGAGGGUGCAAGCGUUAAUCGGAAUUACUGGGCGUAAAGCGCGCGUAGGUGGUUUGUUAAGUUGGAUGUGAAAGCCCCGGGCUCAACCUGGGAACUGCAUCCAAAACUGGCAAGCUAGAGUACGGUAGAGGGUGGUGGAAUUUCCUGUGUAGCGGUGAAAUGCGUAGAUAUAGGAAGGAACACCAGUGGCGAAGGCGACCACCUGGACUGAUACUGACACUGAGGUGCGAAAGCGUGGGGAGCAAACAGGAUUAGAUACCCGCGUAGUCCCUGUCUCUUAUAC